GUUACAGGUAAUAUGGUGGGCAAAGCAGAGGUGUGACAGAAAGGGACGGCAAAGGCAAGGUAGUGAGAAGUGUGGCAAGAAGUCAACGACAGCGCGAAUGAGUGAUAGCGGAGAACAAGGCAACUAUCAGACAUCGAGGUAUAGGCUGUUUGCUAGGACAUGAGCUAUGGCCUUGAGAUGUGCAGUGCAUUUCCACCCCGAACAGUGGGUGGGGUGAACUCAGAGCUCAGUUGCAAGGCAGAAGCGACCGAGUUCACUUCGUGUGGUAAAUUCCAUUUCAAAAACAUUGACCCAUUUUUAAUAGGCAUUUCAUAUUCAUCGCUGUUUCUACUCAGCACGAACAGAAUGCAAAGCGUGGGCAGAGGUGUAAAGAAAAUAGGGGGACGUAAAGUAAUACACAGCCAAAGUAGAGAAAUGGUGAUAAGUGUUUACAGUUUUAUGAAGAAAGAAGCGGACAGCGGCAAUGUGAUUAACGUUAAUCAAAUACAAAAUCGUGUUUCUGAAGCUACUGGUGUGUCCAUAAGUACUCUGAAACGCAUUCUGAAAGAGUACGAACAUAAUAAACGAGUGGGAAAAGAAUUCAGCACACCUCACAA